rnacentral:rRNA from 1 species
GAUGAACGCUGGCGGCGUGCCUAAUACAUGCAAGUCGAGCGAACGGACGAGAAGCUUGCUUCUCUGAUGUUAGCGGCGGACGGGUGAGUAACACGUGGAUAACCUACCUAUAAGACUGGGAUAACUUCGGGAAACCGGAGCUAAUACCGGAUGAUAUUUUGAACCGCAUGGUUCAAAAGUGAAAGACGGUCUUGCUGUCACUUAUAGAUGGAUCCGCGCUGCAUUAGCUAGUUGGUAAGGUAACGGCUUACCAAGGCAACGAUGCAUAGCCGACCUGAGAGGGUGAUCGGCCACACUGGAACUGAGACACGGUCCAGACUCCUACGGGAGGCAGCAGUGGGGAAUCUUCCGCAAUGGGCGAAAGCCUGACGGAGCAACGCCGCGUGAGUGAUGAAGGCCUUCGGAUCGUAAAACUCUGUUAUUAGGGAAGAACAUAUGUGUAAGUAACUGUGCACAUCUUGACGGUACCUAAUCAGAAAGCCACGGCUAACUACGUG